rnacentral:rRNA from 1 species
UACGAAGGGGGCUAGCGUUGCUCGGAAUCACUGGGCGUAAAGGGUGCGUAGGCGGGUCUUUAAGUCAGGGGUGAAAUCCUGGAGCUCAACUCCAGAACUGCCUUUGAUACUGAAGAUCUUGAGUUGGGAGAGGUGAGUGGAACUGCGAGUGUAGAGGUGAAAUUCGUAGAUAUUCGCAAGAACACCAGUGGCGAAGGCGGCUCACUGGCCCGAUACUGACGCUGAGGCACGAAAGCGUGGGGAGCAAACAGG